rnacentral:rRNA from 1 species
AGCGAAUGCUGGCGGCAGGCUUAACACAUGCAAGUCGAGCGGGCAUAGCAAUAUGUCAGCGGCAGACGGGUGAGUGACGCGUGGGAACGUACCUUUUGGUUCGGAACAACUGAGGGAAACUUCAGCUAAUACCGGAUAAGCCCUUACGGGGAAAGAUUUAUCGCCGAAAGAUCGGCCCGCGUCUGAUUAGCUAGUUGGUGAGGUAAUGGCUCACCAAGGCGACGAUCAGUAGCUGGUCUGAGAGGAUGAUCAGCCACAUUGGGACUGAGACACGGCCCAAACUCCUGCGGGAGGCAGCAGUGGGGAAUAUUGGACAAUGGCCGAAAGACUGAUCCAGCCAUGCCGCGUGAGUUAUGAAGGCCCUAGGGUUGUAAAGCUCUUUUGUGCGGGAAGAUAAUGACGGUACCGCAAGAAUAAGCCCCGGCUAACUUCGUGCCAGCAGCCGCCGUAA